rnacentral:lncRNA from 1 species
CCCAAUUGGUUCCAAUGCAACUCCUACUUCCUUUCUCAUGUUCUCUUCCAACUGAAACAAUGGUUGCUUCGUCUUCCAUAUCAAUCCCCUUUGAGCUCGUGGGAGCUCUGUCACCCACUCUUUCUUCUUAACCCUUUAACCUCUCAUCCCAUCCUCCUCCAAUUCCACCAAGCUCCACCUAUUAUGAUCUGGGUCUAUUACUCUUUGGAUCCAAGAGAGAGAUUGUGGGAGGAGCAGCUGUAAUUUGGCCGUGUUGGGUUCUUUCCACACUUUUUUCCCCCCAAGGUACCCCAUGAGACAUAGAAUCGUUUCUUAUGUUUAUCUGGAAUUUCGUAUGAUUUCAUCAAUGAACAUAGAGAUCCAUAAUCUUACAUCAACCCUAUUUCUCCCCUUUUGAGCUCGUGGGAGCAUCAAGCUAGUGUUUUUUGCUUUAAGAAGAUGUUUGACACCCUUAACUUUCGUUUUCCUGACAAACAGUUCUGCAUUAGCAGGAACAAGGAUUUGGUUCAUAGAGAAUCCAGAUUUUAGCGUGGUCACUCAGUUUGCAAGGUCCGGUGCUGAUUCUUCUUCAGCUAUUGAUACAGAGGUGAGAACCAGUCCAGUGAAUUUGAACAUUGGAAAUGAACAACAUGUAUGUACUAUAUAUUUGAUAUUUCGAAACUGAUAAUAAUACAUGAUGAUCUCAUGGAGUACAGAUUAGUGACAGCGAGUUUCAUACGUUCAUACUUACUGAUGAAUUUUCUUAGUUGUAUUACCUUUGAGGAACAUAGCUGCUACAGGAUUCAUGGAAAGAAUUGGCAACAUUAGUAGGCAGAUUGACAAAGGGAAUGAAUGUAGGUGCUGAACCAGAUAGCUGGAAGUGGAAAUGGGUGGUAUAUGGAGAGAUCAUUAGUGGAAUAAAGUCUUUCGAAUGCAUAAGAACACCACAAUGAAUGCUGACGAAAGUACGAGUAGAAAAUAUCCCGACACAGGGAGAAACUAAUGUAGGAUCCUGCAGGUAAAACCAAAGCCUCAAGUUAAAACGUUUGGUGGAGCUACUAAUUGGAAGAGCAGUUAAUACUUGUACCUACUUAAUUCAGUAACUUGAUGAAUCACAACAAAGAUCAUUACAAACAUUAAUCGACAAUUAAU